AUUUUGUCUAAAGCAAUAGAUGUAUAAGCAGUAGUAAUAUAGAGAUCGGUAAGAAAAAAUAGUUUAAUAACAUCUGUGAGAAAAAAAAUAGUAUAAGUUAGAAAUAUAAAAAUAAAUUUAUAAUAUAGUGUAGAUAUUUAUAAAAGAGUCAUAUUUCAACACACCAUGUAAAUCUUGACCAAUUAUUUUUCUAAAUAAGUGAUUGAGAUGUCGUGACCAACUAUUAAAGCAUAGGUACCAUUCUCCAUUUAUCUAUCUGAAGAGUAUUUUAAUCUUUGCAGAAUGUUUUGGUUCAUAAAAAAGGUUUUAUCCAAUUAAGGACAUUACAAACUUUUCCAAUAGCUAAAACAAUAAUUAAAAUUCAAACUUACAUCCAAACCGUAAAUUCAAUUUGGAAACAACAUAAGAAACUUAAUUAUAAGUCAAAUUCAAAAUUUCAAAUAUAAAACACAACUUUAAGAUAAAACUUUCAGUUCAAAUUCAAAAAUUCAAUUUAAAUCAAAAAUUAGAAUUUAGCUUUAAAGUUAAAAGUACAAUUUAGAUUCAAAAUUUAAAAGUUUGAAUUUAAAUUUCAAAAUUAAAAUUUUACAUUACAAUACCAAAUUCAAAAAUUAAAUUUAAAUUCAAUACUUUUUUUGAG
rnacentral:lncRNA from 1 species